AGGGGCUGGCACCUGGGUCAUAUACAAAUCGUGUUAAAAGUAUGGAUUUGAUUAGUUCUUUUGAUGUAUAAAUUUGUAACAUCUAUCUUUUUUCGUUAAAGUUUAAUGCAGCUGUGUUGGACCAUUUAAUAGACAUAAAGUUUUGUCUAUUAACGAAUGAACAUACAGUUUAAGUUCAUUCAUAAAGUUGUGCUAUAUAAAGUACUCGGCUAGGAGGUGAAGAUGAUACGGUAAUUAUGAAAGGAAAAUUUCGUUAUGAAGAGGUGGACCGCCAUAGUUCGUAUCAUUGUAGUCUUUUAGUUUGAGCUAAAGAUCAAGUGAGUUCUAAGAUAUUUGACCAUAAAGUUUUCAAUAAUGCGCAAUAAAGAUUGGAGUAUAAAAAAUCUGUUAAUGGAAUAUGAUUAAUAUAAGCCAAGUGGGAGAUUGUUAGGAUUUUCAUAUAUUGUGGUCCAAUUAAUCAUAUUUAAUUUAGAAUUUGAUAUAGAUAAAGGUCAAUCCUAACAUAUUUAGAACUUCUUGAUAUGGUAUAUUUUAUCCCUAUCCCAUCUAUUUUAGAUUUAAAUAGAAUCCUAAUCAGACUUUGAUGGGAAGUCGAUCUGGAUUCUAUAUAAAUGGGUAUUGGUCCUACCACCUUCUCAUACGCAUUCUGGUAAAGAAUUACCAUCGGUUUCACACCAUACGGUAGAGUGCCUGAGAUAGGAGGAGAAACCAAAUUACUCAAGUUCGGUUCGUGACUUUCAGACCAUAGCCGGACUUCACGCUUUCGCAAGAUUGAUCAAGAAUUUCUUCUCUAUGGUGCUCUGUGAGUUAUCUUAUAUUUUGUUUUGAUCCUGAAUUUUGGUAUGUAUUUAUUUUCGGUUUUAUUUUUUACAUAC
rnacentral:lncRNA from 1 species